rnacentral:misc_RNA from 1 species
UCAAAGGGCGCUGUCGUGCGAUCAGCGGCGAUCUGGCGGUGGGUGGACUGGUCAGUCAGAGGAGCGUGCGUGUCUGUGCAUUGGAAGUGUUGUCGGCGGCGUGGUCGUGCGGGACUCGGCUAGUCGUCAGCCUUGAAUCGUUGAGCUCAGCCGUCUACGCGACGCACGCGUCCAUCCUUACUGGACGUUCCGGCGCGUCCAGUUGGUCGAACUUCCUCGUCUACCAAGAAAACCACCAUGACCACGGCAGCCAAGUUGUACGGCAAGGAUCUCAGUGAGUACGAAGAUAUUGACGUGGAUGAGCUACUGGCACAACUCACGCCGGAAGAGAUCAAUAUACUCGCCAAGGAAGUGGAUCCUGAUGAUAGCUUCAUGCCACCUUCGCAACGUUGCAGUUAUGAAUGUGACAAGAGUCCUACAGGGCCGCUGAAUCGAAAGAAACUCAUCGAGCACAUCAACAAGCAGGCUCUGGAGACGCCUGAUAUUCCAGAGCUGAAGCCAUAUGUACCUGGUGUGAUCAGAGGCAAAAAAUGGAUACCUCCGCCGCAAGAGACUAUAAAAGAGAAGGAGGCAGAGGAACAGAUCGCGAUAGAUCUCGGGGAAGAGUACGAACAAGCUCUCUCGUCAGCCACCCAAGAAGAAAUCAUCGAUCUUGCUGCUAUUCUUGGAUUCCAUUCCAUGAUGAAUCAAGAUCAGUAUCACGCGUCCUUGUUGAACUCUGGACAACCGGUCGGACUCGGCUGGGACGGCGUGACGAAGGCUAGCCAACCGAAGGUCUAUCCCAUGGAGCCGCCCAACGACACAGACGUCGACGCCACCAUCAAACAAGUGCGCGACGAUGACUCAGCUCUGACCGACUUGAAUUGGAACAAUAUUAAAAAUAUCUCGGACGAAAAGUUCAUGCAGUUGUUCGAAGGCUUGGAAAUAAACACUCACCUCGAAUCGCUGAGUUUAACCAAUGUUGGACUGAACGACAAAACUGCGCAACGGCUGGCAGACGCUGUAGAGAAGAAUUCGACGCUCAGAGUACUCAACGUGGAAACAAACUUUAUAAGCCCGGCUGUGAUAGUGAGGCUCAUCAGGGCCCUUCUCAAAACGAAGUCCAUUGAAGAGUUCCGAUGCUCGAACCAGAGGUCACAAGUGUUGGGUAACAAAAUCGAGAUGGAAAUCACACAGUUGGUGGAACAAAACCCGACAUUGCUGCGACUCGGGUUGCACUUGGAGUUCAACGACGCUAGACACCGCGUGGCCGCGCAUCUGCAACGCAACAUUGACAGGAUCUGCCGUGUGGAACCCAUGGAACGCGCUAAGGUCGUAGCGAUCGGUGCUGGUGCUGGAACCUUCACCGUUCUCCCCGUAGAUGACUUAAAAAACCGAGCGUAGCGCUGUCGCGGCGCAUACGGAAAGAUCUAACGCUGCGGCUACAGUUCCGAUUCUUUAACAUGAACCACAGGAAACCUGCCUUGAUCCAAUGAAAGUACGGCAGUCCCGGCUCGGGGUGGCGACAUCUUAACGCGAAGUGGCGUUCGUCUAGGUAUUA